UGCGUAGGCGGUUAGUUAAGUCUGUUGUGAAAUCCCCGGGCUCAACCUGGGAAUGGCAAUGGAUACUGGCUAGCUAGAGUGUGUCAGAGGAUGGUGGAAUUCCCGGUGUAGCGGUGAAAUGCGUAGAGAUCGGGAGGAACAUCAGUGGCGAAGGCGGGCCAUCUGGGACAACACUGACGCUGAAGCACGAAAGCGUGGGGGAGCAAACA
rnacentral:rRNA from 1 species